AUACGUAGGUGGCGAGCGUUAUCCGGAUUUACUGGGCGUAAAGGAUGCGUAGGUGGAAUUUUAAGUGGGAUGUGAAAUACCCGGGCUCAACCUGGGAACUGCAUUCCAAACUGGAAUUCUAGAGUGCAGGAGAGGAAAGCGGAAUUCCUAGUGUAGCGGUGAAAUGCGUAGAGAUUAGGAAGAACACCAGUGGCGAAGGCGGCUUUCUGGACUGUAACUGACACGGAGGCAUGAAAGCGUGGGGAGCAAACAGGAUUAGAUCCCCUGGUAGUCCACGCCGUAAACGAUGGGUACUAGGUGUAGGGGUUUCGAUACCUCUGUGCCGCCGUAAACACAAUAAGUACCCCGCCUGGGGAGUACGGUCGCAAGAUUAAAACUCAAAUGAAUUGACGGG
rnacentral:rRNA from 1 species